rnacentral:lncRNA from 1 species
AUGGCCUCCAGGAAUUUGGAAAUAGGAAUAAUCUUCUUUUCUCAGACAACAGUUGGAUUAUUGGGGAAUUUAUUUUUUUGCCACUUUGUUAUACCAGGUGGAUAUUAAAGUCCACAGAUUUGAUUCUCAAGCACCUGGCUAUAGCCAACAUCUUGGUCAUAUUCUCCAAAGCAGCUUCACAGACAAUGACUUCUUUUAAUUUCAAGCAUUUCCUCAGUGAUAGUGCAUGCAAACAUGUUUUCUAUGUUCACAGAGUGGGCAGAGGUGUGUACAUUACCACCAUCUGCCUCUUGAGUGUCUUCCAGCCAUCAUUAUCAGCCCCAUGAACUCCAGGUGGGCACAGUUGAGACUACAAGCUCCCAAAUACAUUGGGUCCUCCAACAUCUUGUCCUGGAUAGGAAAUACACUGACAAAUACCAUUUUUUCUAUGCAUGUGAUUGGCAAAUUGGACAGCAAAAACAAUACAAAGAAAAAAGAUUUAAGAUACUGUUCUUCAUUGGAUAAUAACAGAAUUACCAGAUUACUAUGUACAACAUUAUCGUCAUUCCAUGGUGUUUGUGUUUG